UACGAGGGGGGCAAGCGUUGUUCGGAAUUAUUGGGCGUAAAGGGUGCGUAGGCGGUCUGACAAGUCUGAUGUGAAAUCUAUGGGCUCAACCCAUAGUCUGCAUCGGAAACUGUCGGGCUUGAGUAUGGGAGAGGUGAGUGGAAUUUCCGGUGUAGCGGUGAAAUGCGUAGAUAUCGGAAGGAACACCUGUGGCGAAAGCGGCUCACUGGACCACUACUGACGCUGAGGCACGAAAGCUAGGG
rnacentral:rRNA from 1 species